AUUGGACGCUGGCGGCAUGCCUUACACAUGCAAGUCGAACGGCAGCACGGGAGCAAUCCUGGUGGCGAGUGGCGAACGGGUGAGUAAUAUAUCGGAACGUGCCCAGUCGUGGGGGAUAACGCAGCGAAAGCUGUGCUAAUACCGCAUACGAUCUAAGGAUGAAAUCGGGGGAUCGCAAGACCUCGCGCGAUUGGAGCGGCCGAUAUCAGAUUAGCUAGUUGGUGGGGUAAAGGCCCACCAAGGCGACGAUCUGUAGCUGGUCUGAGAGGACGACCAGCCACACUGGAACUGAGACACGGUCCAGACUCCUACGGGAGGCAGCAGUGGGGAAUUUUGGACAAUGGGCGCAAGCCUGAUCCAGCAAUGCCGCGUGCAGGAUGAAGGCCUUCGGGUUGUAAACUGCUUUUGUACGGAACGAAACGGCCCUUUCUAAUACAGGGGGCUAAUGACGGUACCGUAAGAAUAAGCACCGGCUAACUACGUGCCAGCCGCCGCCGUAAGAC
rnacentral:rRNA from 1 species